UAGCCGUAAACGAUACUCGCUAGGUGUCGGCCACGGUGCGACCGUUGUCGGUGCCGUAGGGAAGCCGUGAAGCGAGCCACCUGGGAAGUACGGCCGCAAGGCUGAAACUUAAAGGAAUUGGCGGGGGAGCACCACAACGGGUGGAGCUUGCGGUUUAAUUGGAUUCAACGCCGGAAAUCUUACCGGGACCGACAGCAACAUGAAGGCCAGGCUGAAGACUUUACCAGAAUCGCUGAGAGGAGGUGCAUGGCG
rnacentral:rRNA from 1 species